AUGACGCUGCUCUGUUCAUCCGUUCCUCCCAGCCCGGGACGCGUGGCGUUCCUCCCCGCACCACAGAUCCCGCGCGGCCAAGCGCGAGUCGUUUCCAGGCAUCGGCGUCUGUGGUCCUCGACCUUCGGAUUUCAGACCUCGGUGCCUCCCAGGACCGCGAUAAACGUCGCCUCCGCCCCUCUCUCUCAGAUCGCCUGGGGGGCGGUCUCGGCUUGCCCCAAAUCGGUCCUCAUUAGAGCCCGGCCAGGGAAGCCGGCAUCCGUGGCUCCCAGGGACCUGGACCCGGAGCUGCUCCUCCCUGCCCGGGCGACAGCAGCUGAGCAGUCCCGAGGCGGUCCGGAACCUCGCGGUGCCGUCUCCCCUCCCAGAGCGGAGUCGGGGACCGGGCUAGGUGGAAAUGCCAUGGUUCCCUUCUGCCCAGCGGGACCGCCCCUGCCCAGUCUCUCUCGCUUUUGGCCCUUCCUGGGGCUUCUAACGCCGUGGAACACUUGUGUUUCUCCUAGGGCUCGCUUGGAGGAAGGCAGCCUAGCGCAGACGGAAGGACCAGGGCCAAGAUACUUGACACGUGUGGCAGAGACUGCUGAUUGCACACCAACACAGUCCAUCUCCCCUUCACAUUUAAUAACAGCAGAAGGUAGCAGUAUGACCAGGUGA
rnacentral:lncRNA from 1 species